GACCCGAUAGCUCAGCUGGUUAGAGCAACGGACUUUUAAUCCGUAGGUCCUGGGUUCGAUUCCCAGUCGGGUCA
rnacentral:tRNA from 2 species